rnacentral:lncRNA from 1 species
UUCAUUCUUGAUUCAAAAGUUGAGCUUUUAUUCAGAUGUCUUUGAUUUACUCGCAUGUUAUUAUACUGUUAUUUCAUUAUUAUACUUGUGGGCAAUAGUGCUCACUCUUGCUUAAUAAUAACAUUGUAGUUAAGAACGAAAGAACUGAUGAACCUUCCACUAGUAAGGGCAAGGGCAAAGUUAGCAAAUGAUGAAGACUUGUUAUUUUAUUUGAUGAUGUAUUUAUAUUAGACUUGAG